rnacentral:rRNA from 1 species
UACGGGGGGGGCAAGCGUUGUUCGGAAUUACUGGGCGUAAAGCGCGUGUAGGCGGCGUGACAAGUCGGGUGUGAAAGCCCGGGGCUCAACCCCGGAACGGCACCCGAGACUGGGCGGCUCGAGACCGGGAGAGGUGGGUGGAAUACCCAGUGUAGAGGUGAAAUUCGUAGAUAUUGGGUGGAACACCGGUGGCGAAAGCGGCUCACUGGCCCGGUUCUGACGCUGAGGUGCGAAAGCGUGGGGAGCGAACAGG